rnacentral:rRNA from 1 species
AUUGAACGCUGGCGGCAUGCUUUACACAUGCAAGUCGAACGGCAGCGCGGGCUUCGGCCUGGCGGCGAGUGGCGAACGGGUGAGUAAUGCAUCGGAACGUGCCCAGUAGUGGGGGAUAGCCCGGCGAAAGCCGGAUUAAUACCGCAUACGACCUGCGGGUGAAAGCGGGGGACCGAAAGGCCUCGCGCUAUUGUAGCGGCCGAUGUCGGAUUAGCUAGUUGGUGGGGUAAAGGCUUACCAAGGCGACGAUCCGUAGCUGGUCUGAGAGGACGACCAGCCACACUGGGACUGAGACACGGCCCAGACUCCUACGGGAGGCAGCAGUGGGGAAUUUUGGACAAUGGGGGCAACCCUGAUCCAGCCAUGCCGCGUGCGGGAAGAAGGCCUUCGGGUUGUAAACCGCUUUUGUUCGGGAAGAAAUCCUCUGGGCUAAUACCCCGGGGGGAUGACGGUACCGGAAGAAUAAGCACCGGCUAACUACGUG